CCUACGGGUGGCAGCAGUAGGGAAUAUUGCUCAAUGGGGGAAACCCUGAAGCAGCAAAGCCGCGUGGAGGAUGAAGGUUUUCGGAUUGUAAACUCCUUUUGUUAGAGAAGAUAAUGACGGUAUGUAACGAAUAAGCACCGGCUAACUUCGUGCCAGCAGCCGCGGUAAUACGGAGGCUGCCAGCGUUACUCGGAAUCACUGGGCGUAAAGAGUGAGUAGGCGGGGUAAUAAGUCAGAUGUGAAAUUCUGUAGCUUAACUACAGAACUGCAUUUGAAAAUGGUACUCUUGAGUGUGGUAGAGGUAGGUGGAAUUCGUGGUGUAGGGGUAAAAUCCGUAGAGAUCAAGAGGAAUACUCAUUGCGAAGGCGACCUGCUGGAACAUUACUGACGCUGAUGCACGAAAGCGUGGGGAGCAAACAGGAUUAGAUACCCGGGUAGUC
rnacentral:rRNA from 1 species